UAAUUUAAAGUCUAGCCUGCCCAAUGAUAAUUUUAAUGGCCGCAGUAUUUUGACUGUGCAAAGGUAGCAUAAUCAUUAGUUUCUUAAUUAGAAACUAGAAUGAAAGGUUGAACGAAAAAAUAACUGUCUCUUUAUAAUUUUUUUAGAAUUUUAUUUUUGAGUUAAAAAGCUUAAAUAAAUUUGAAAGACGAGAAGACCCUAUAGAGUUUUAUAUUUUUUAAAAUUGAAUUUUUAAAAUAGAAUAAUUUUUAUUUAAUUGAAUAAAAUAUUUAAUUGGGGUGAUUGAAAAAUUUAAUUAACUUUUUUUAUAUUAGUACAUAAAUAUAUGAUUAAUUGAUCCAUUAUUAAUGAUUAUAAGAUUAAAUUACCUUAGGGAUAACAGCGUAAUUUUUUUUAAGAGUUCUUAUCGAUAAAAAAGUUUGCGACCUCGAUGUUGGAUUAAAAUUAAAAUUUGGUGUAGAAGCUAAAUUAUUAGGUCUGUUCGACCUUUAAAAUUUU
rnacentral:rRNA from 1 species